UGACAGUUUGUUGACGGCUCUGCAGAAUUUGGACUCGUGCAUACCCCAGUUGCGGAUGUUGUGAGAUUAAAGGAAAGGACCUCACCAGUUGCCUGGCACAUCAAAAAUGCUCAGUAAACGGUAGCCAUUAUCGCAAGAGGCUGCCAACCCACAAAUCUAAAGCUUCCUGCUUAGCCUGAGUUCCAGACCCAUUGAUUCAACUGCUUCCCAGACAACACAUUUGGAUGCUCCACAGGCUCUCCAAGGACAAAGAAAAGAACCAAAGCCUUAGGACAUUGUCUCCAGUCCUAUCAACCCAGAGGUCUCCUGCCAGCCUCUUUCCAGUGGAAACAGCUCUGCUCACUGUUCCCAGUUAAUGAAUGAGGAAACGGAAGCUUGGGAGGUGAAGCCACAUAGACCAGGUUUUCCAGCUGGUAAGUAACGCAGCCAGAAUUCAAACCCCAGUCUCUUAUGACCAAAGGAUAUUGGAUUUUUCACAUGAAGUCCAUCUUAACUCCCACGAAGCAGACGAUUUUGGUGCCCCGCGUUGAGACUCCUUGACCCACAUCCAAUUUCAGACACAGCUGUGGUGGACAGUGGUGGUGGCAACCAAUCUCAGGAGAGAUUUUUGUGUAUUUUGCUUUCUGGGCACAGUCCAGAGUAGAGAGUGGGUGUGCGGGGGGUGGGUGGGGGGACCGGGGAGGAGGCAGCAGUCAACAUCCCUGGGACAGCCCUCUGUCAGUGGGUCAGGGUACCAACCUCCUGCUCGCCAAGGGGGAAAUUCUGGAGAGCAUUGUGGACCCAUCUCAGGUGGCCGCACAGCACCCAGACCCCACAGCCUCCCCUGGCCUCCCCGUCAUGUAGCUUUUCCACUUCCUGUCUUGUCCUUUCCAUUCCCUCACUGCUGCUUCCAGGACCACCUCCAAAAUAAACUGCUGCAUCCCAGUCCCUCUCUCAGGUGUUGUGUCCUGGGGACCCCAAACAACGACACCCAGCAUUCUUUGACAGAUGGAGCCCAAGAGAGCAUACAGGAUUGGAGGUGUGGGCAGAGGGCAGAGGGUUUUGGAGGAAUGAAGGAGGGAGAAGAGGAAAACUAAGCUGCAUGGAAUACCUAUGCUAGCUCAAGGACAAUUACACAUCAGCUCAUUUAGUUCUCAAAAGGCUUGUAGGAUAAAUUUAAUAUCCUGUUUUACAGGGGAGGAAACCAAGGCUCAGAGAGCUUGAAAGUCUUAUCGUAGUAACUCAUCUAAUGGCUCAAAGGGAGACUUGUCUUACAGUGUGUUCUUUCCUCCACACUGUAUCAUCCAGUGAUUCUGCACGUACCUCUAAUCCACACUGGCUCCAUUCUGCAUGGUAUGCUGAUGAGUUUUCUCCCCCAGAGCCUGAGUUUGUAGAAGGCAGCUGUGGGGAUUUAUCUGCGUCUGUCCCCCACAGUCUGAGCACAGUGAUAAUAUUUGAAUAGUUUAGAAUAAACACCACCAAACAUCUGAGGUCUUUGACUUGUCCCACAUCUAAGGAUGAGGACAAAUUAUUUCCCAAACAUUUGUACAACUUAUUUGCUUUUGCUUACUUUCUUUUAAAAAAAAAAUUUAUCUCCUAAAGACAUAUGUAAUGCUUCCUUUGUUUAAUUUCUUGCCUCAUUAUACAAAACCCAGAUAGGGGACAAGGCAGGCCCGAGAACACAGCAGCGUACAUGCACCCUCCACGGACCCCUGUGUGGGUGGAACAAAGGUUUCUCUGACUUUCUUCUGCAGCCAUCACUCCUUGGUGCUGACAAGCAGCUGCAGCCCUGGAGGGAAGGAAAGCAGUGGAAAUAAGGUAGAGGGAGAAGUGGUGGUCAUUUAGGUCCCACAGCCUCCCUUCUCGUGAAGCUACAAAAUGGGGAAAAGUAAGUUUAGAUUAGACUUUUGUUUCAUAUAAAGGGCUUGUGGGCAGAAUAAAUCUAUCUUCCCCACCUCCAAUCAAUCCCACCUCCUUUGUGGUGGAAAGUCCCCAACUGGCCCAACAGAAGGGGAUAUAUCAUCUACGGCAUAGAGCACAGUAGUUUAGGGUCCUGAUCCUGAGAUCAGCUAUGGGCCAGGACAGGAGGCAGAGGCUGGGUUUGGGGCCAGCUCUACCAUGUCCUGGCAGGGCACCCUUCAACAAGGGACUUCAACCCGCAGACAUCCAGUUGUCCCAUCUGGAAAAGGGGCUCAGUGAAGGCACUUCACUCUUACUCGAUUUCAUGGAGCUGAAGAUCGUUUCCCUUUUUGGUUGAUUUUCGUUUGUUUGUUUGUUUUGUUUGUUUGUUUCUUUUUGGCAUUACCAUCUCCAAACUAGGAUGCAUCUUGUAAUCCCUGGAAUCUCAGAUUGUUUAAAACGUAGCACUGAAGGAAUAAUCCAUUCCCAGGACAAAUGGGUAAAGCUGGUGAUACUUUACUCCAAAAAUUCAGAAAGUGUUUUAUGCCUCACAUGAUGACAUUUCCUAGAAGUCUGUUGGCCUCCUGGGAGCACAGGAAGCCUAGGCUUUGUGGGGGAGUCACAGGGUCAGAUUCGUGGGUUGAAUUCAGGGCCAGAUCUAGGCUGAGGUGAGCAGGGCUCCCAGGGUGCACGAUUUAAGGAGGCCUGAACGUGGUUGUUGUAGGGCCCUUCUCAGUUCCCCCAGCUGGGGGUUUGGGGCAACUCACUGCAUUCCACAGGGCCUCAGUUCCCUGAAUUGUAAAAUGGGGGGUGGGAGGUGGGUCAAUAUAACACCAGAGGUCUCUUCUUUAGCAAUCUGUUGUUGUGAUUCUACAUCUGACUUUGCCACUAGACAGGAAGCUCUUAGAGGCCCCGACCAGUGCUCGUUCACCCCAUCCCUCUGCCCCAAUGGACAGUUAGUGGCACAUAGUGGGUGUUAAUUACGCUUUCCGUUGAGUUAUUGUAGUAGUAGCUUUGUUCCUGAGAGCAUUGCAAACCGUAGAUCAGAGCUGGCUAUAGAAUCAGAGUCCUGGGUACAAAUCUCGGUGCCAGCACUUACCAGCUGAGUAACUUUCGGUAAAUCACUGAACCUGUCCAUCUACUUCUAUGUCCUCAUCUCUAAAGUGGAGUUGUUGUGAGGUUCUGUAAGACCGUGGAAGAAAAGUUCUUAACGAGGCACCUACUGUGGAGAAAACACACACUCAAGGUUGGCUGUCAUUGCUAUUAUUAUUUUGUCACUUUACCUCUGUGGCCUGAGUGUCCCACAGCUCUGUAACAGGCAGGAAGAGAGAAUGUCGUGGGUAGUUCACAAUCUAGACCAUGCUGUAGCCUCUGCUCCAGAGUAUUUUCUAGAGAAAUCGUUUUUCUGUCUGGAAUUCUGGUCCAGUCUCCAAAAAGAUGCCCCUGAAGUCUUCCUCAUUCCUCGCUAAGGAUUCCACAUUCAGUCCAGAGACAAAAAACCUUGAAAGUGGAGAUACCUUCCAAGGAAGCAGCCCACCUGUCUUUGCUUCUCCAUAGCAGGAAGCAUGAGGAUGCUCCAAGGGUAACCCAAAUAUGUCCUGAAAUCCAUGUGACUCCAGCUUCAGGACUGUAGCAUUCAAAAACCAGCCUGCCACGGACAGUAGGUCAAAAUUAAUUAUAAAUUUUUUCUUGCAUCUCUUGAAAAUCAUAAAAAUGAAUCCAAUAGAUAAGGAAGGUUUGUACUCUUAAAAUCUGCUUUAAUUGUUGUUGAGAUGCAAGGGUGACAACUCAUCACAUUUGUAGACCCCUCCAAGUUCGAAACCAAUCAGGAAAUAUAUUCAGGGGUCAGAAAGGCAGAGAUGAACAGAUUGAUAUUAACGCUGCUGACACUGCAUUAGAGAUGAUAGCUUGGAUCUCUAGGCAUUAUCAGGUUAUCUCAGACCUCCUGUCUUCCUACGGACUUGGGAAAGUCUGCAAAGCACUUACCUGCCAGCUGCAGGUAAGUGUUAAGAAGCGAUAAAGAGACAGGGAGAGCAGAGAUAGGUGGCCCAACUCAGUAAACGUCACCCAAAUGAGCAACCUCCACUGAAGGCUGCAAAGAUGACAGCUUCGAGCCACUCACCCAUCAGAUAGAUCCUCCUAUCACUCCCUGCCAGGAAGGAAGGGGAAGUAGGGGGUAGAAGCAUAAAGGGUAGGGGGUACUGGAAAUGUUUCUCUAGGUGCAGUCCCUUGGUGAAAUUGAGAGGACAGGAAAGUGGGGUCUGUGAGAUCUGCACCCAUUUUAUCACACCUGCUGCUGCUUGGCACCUGUCCUCCUGGAAGCCCCUCCUGCUCACCCCUCCAGCAGACCUGUUUGAGCCCCUGUCUUGGAUCUCCAGCCUUUUCCACCUGUCACUCCAUAGAUGUUCCCCCAAGAACCAGUCGGAGGAUAGAAUUGUGCUGAGAGUAACCAGCAGAGAUGGGGACAGCGUUCUCUCCAGCCAGGGUGUGUGUGUAUGUGUGUGUGUGUGUCACAAGGAGCAACCUGGAAACCCCAGACAAUGCUAUCUGAUAGAACUUUCUGUGAUGAUGGAAAUGUUCUAUAUCCAAACUGUCUAAUACAGUCACCACUAGCUACAUGGGGGUAUUGAGCCCUUGAACUGUGACAACUGAGGAAUGGAAUUUUUCAUUUUAUCUGAUUGUAAUUAAUUUAAAUUUAAAUAGCCACGUGUGUCUAGUGGCUAACAUAUUGGACAGCACAGACCUACAGCGUCAUGCACUCUAAAGAGAUAAACAUAAUGUGGGAACUGUGAGAAUUGAAUCUGAGAGCAUAGGUUACAGGGGAAGGCUUAUUGAAAAGGUCCCUAGAUUGUAAGCUCUUACAGCAGUCACCUCCAUUCAUGAGUUUUAACAGUUAUUUCUAAAUAGUGAGA